rnacentral:rRNA from 1 species
GAUCCUGGCUUAGGAUGAACGCUAGCUACAGGCUAACACAUGCAAGUCGAGGGGCAGCAUUGGAGUAGCAAUACUCAGAUGGCGACCGGCGCACGGGUGAGUAACACGUAUCCAACCUGACCGCUUACUCGGGGAUAGCCUUUCGAAAGAAAGAUUAAUACCCGAUGGUAUAAAGAGUUCGCAUGUUCUCUUUAUUAAAGAAUUUCGGUAAGCGAUGGGGAUGCGUUCCAUUAGAUAGUUGGCGGGGUAACGGCCCACCAAGUCUACGAUGGAUAGGGGUUCUGAGAGGAAGGUCCCCCCACAUUGGAACUGAGACACGGUCCAAACUCCUACGGGAGGCAGCCAGUGAGGAAUAUUGGUCAAUGGACGAGAGUCUGAACCAGCCAAGUAGCGUGAAGGAUGACUGCCCUAUGGGUUGUAAACUUCUUUUAUAAGGGAAUAAAGUGAGGGACGUGUCCCUUUUGUAUGUACCUUAUGAAUAAGGAUCGGCUAACUCCGUGCCAGCAGCAGC